UACGGAGGAUCCAAGCGUUAUCCGGAUUUAUUGGGUUUAAAGGGUGCGUAGGCGGAUAAAUAAGUCAGUGGUGAAAGCCUGCAGCUUAACUGCAGAACUGCCAUUGAUACUGUUUAUCUUGAAUAUAGUUGAGGUGGGCGGAAUAUGACAUGUAGUGGUGAAAUACUUAGAUAUGUCAUAGAACACCGAUUGCGAAGGCAGCUCACUAAGCUAUGAUUGACGCUGAGGCACGAAAGCGUGGGUAGCAAACAGGAUUAGAAACCCUAGUAGUCC
rnacentral:rRNA from 1 species